rnacentral:lncRNA from 1 species
UAGAAAGAGCAAGCAAGUGGUGGAGAAGUUGAAGAGAAAGAGAAACAGAAGGAUGUGGGCAGAAUGAAGAGAGGCAAAACCAGAGACACGAGGGUAGUGAGGACCAACUUGAUAUAACUACUUUAAAAGACGACAAACUUCUGUCUCCAGUCAAAAGAUGACACGCCUCUCGCCCCCCCAAAAAUCAAUAAGCAAAGAAGCAAAAGGAUAUUACAGAGGGUUCUUGUUUCCUAUUAGGCUGAGUCUGUAAGCACCAGUUACUUCUAUAGAAACCCAGUGGAAAAACGGUAACCACAGAAACCAGUUCUGUAUGAAACCACGUCCAGUCCAAAAGGGUGAUGCUAAGAAAAAAAUCUCAAGGUAUUUAUGUGCCCACAAAAAGCCUCUGCCUGUAAAGGAAACCAGAGGAGAAACACUUAAUAAUGCUACUCUCGUAUUCUCUAGAAGACAGAGACAAACCACGUCUAAUAGCUCAGGCAAACAAUAAGGAAGAUAAUGCUUACUCUCCACAUGUGCCAAAGGCAUGCUUAGCAAAUAAAACGGGGUUUUGUACUUAAUCAUGUACCC